GACGAACGCUGGCGGCGUGCUUAACACAUGCAAGUCGAACGGAAAGGCCCUGCUUUUGUGGGGUGCUCGAGUGGCGAACGGGUGAGUAACACGUGAGUAACCUGCCCUUGACUUUGGGAUAACUUCAGGAAACUGGGGCUAAUACCGGAUAGGAGCUCCUGCUGCAUGGUGGGGGUUGGAAAGUUUCGGCGGUUGGGGAUGGACUCGCGGCUUAUCAGCUUGUUGGUGGGGUAGUGGCUUACCAAGGCUUUGACGGGUAGCCGGCCUGAGAGGGUGACCGGCCACAUUGGGACUGAGAUACGGCCCAGACUCCUACGGGAGGCAGCAGUGGGGAGUAUUGCACAAUGGGCGGACGCCUGAGGCAGCAACGCCGCGUGCGGGAUGACGGGCUUCGGGUUGUAAACCGCUUUCGCCUGUGACGAAGCGUGAGUGACGGUAAUGGGUAAAGAAGCACCGGCUAACUACGUG
rnacentral:rRNA from 1 species